AAUGAACGCUGGCGGCAUGCCUUACACAUGCAAGUCGAACGGCAGCAUGACCUAGCUUGCUAGGUUGAUGGCGAGUGGCGAACGGGUGAGUAAUGCAUCGGAACGUGCCUUUUAGUGGGGGAUAACGUAGCGAAAGUUACGCUAAUACCGCAUAUUCUCUGAGGAGGAAAGCCGGGGACCUUCGGGCCUUGCGCUAGAAGAGCGGCCGAUGUCGGAUUAGCUAGUUGGUGAGGUAAAGGCUCACCAAGGCAACGAUCCGUAGCGGGUCUGAGAGGAUGAUCCGCCACACUGGGACUGAGACACGGCCCAGACUCCUACGGGAGGCAGCAGUGGGGAAUUUUGGACAAUGGGCGCAAGCCUGAUCCAGCCAUGCCGCGUGAGUGAAGAAGGCCUUCGGGUUGUAAAGCUCUUUCGGCUGGGAAGAAAUCGCACCCUCUAAUACAGGGUGUGGAUGACGGUACCAGCAUAAGAAGCACCGGCUAACUACGUG
rnacentral:rRNA from 1 species